AUGAACUCUUCUCCAGGCUUCAUGACUGCGAUACUCCUCAUACUCGGAAGGACCCAUGGAAACUCUGUGACUCAAACAGGAGGCCAAGUGACCAUCUCAGAAGGCGGGUUCCUGACAAUAAAUUGCACGUAUUCAUUCACAACCAUAGCAUCCCCUACUCUUUUCUGGUAUGUUCGAUAUCCUGGAGAAAGUCUACAGCUCCUCCUGAAAGCCAUUACGGCUGGCGAAAAGGGAAGCAGCAGAGGUUUUGAAGCUACAUAUGAUAAAGGAUCCACCUCCUUCCACUUGCAGAAAGCCUCGGUCCAAGAGUCAGACUCGGCUGUGUACUACUGUGUUCUGCGUGACACAGUGGUGGAAACUGCAGGGGGAGCUGAGCACAAACUGAGAGGGGUUGCUGGGAAGACCCAAGUGGAGCAGAGUCCCAAGCUCCUGGCUGUCCUAGAGGGAGAGAACUGUGUCCUCCAAUGCAAUUACACUGUGAGCCCCAUGAACAACUUAAGGUGGUACCGAAAAGACACAGGCAGAGGUCUUGUGUCUCUGGCAGUCAUGACUUACACAGAGAACAAAAAGUCAAAUGGAAGAUAUUCAGCAUCUCUGGAUGCAGAUGCUAAGUACAGCACCCUGCACAUCACAGCCUCCCAGCUCGAGGACACUGCCUCCUACAUCUGUGUG